UUACGGCCAAAUUACGUUGAAACCCCAGUUCCCGUACGAUCACCGAAGUUAAGCAACGUCGAGCCUGGUCAGUACCUAGAUGAGUGACAGCUUCGGGAAUAGCAAGUGCUGUAAG
rnacentral:rRNA from 1 species